rnacentral:rRNA from 1 species
GUGAGGAAUAUUGCGCAAUGGAGGCAACUCUGACGCAGCCAUGCCGCGUGCAGGAAGAAGGCGCUACGCGUUGUAAACUGCUUUUAACCGGGAAGAAACCCCAGGACGUGUCCUGGGUUGACUGUACCGGAGGAAUAAGCACCGGCUAACUUCGUGCCAGCAGCCGCGGUAAUACGAAGGGUGCAAGCGUUAUCCGGAUUCAUUGGGUUUAAAGGGUGCGUAGGCGGAGCGUUAAGUCAGUGGUGAAAUCCUGCAGCUUAACUGUAGACUUGCCAUUGAUACUGGCGCUCUUGAGUGCGCUUGAAGUGGGCGGAAUGUGCCGUGUAGCGGUGAAAUGCUUAGAUAUGGCACAGAACACCAAUUGCGAAGGCAGCUCACUAAGGCGAUACUGACGCUGAGGCACGAAAGCGUGGGGAUCGAACAGGAUUAGAUACCCUUGUAGUCC